rnacentral:rRNA from 1 species
UAGGCGACCGGGUGAGUAACACGUGACUAACCUACCCUCGAGUGUGGAAUAACAUCGGGAAACCGAUGCUAAUACCGCAUAAUAUCGCAAGAUCAAAGCAGCAAUGCGCUUGAGGAGGGGGUCGCGGCUGAUUAGCUAGUUGGCGGGGUAACGGCCCACCAAGGCGAAGAUCGGUAGCCGGCCUGAGAGGGCACACGGCCACACUGGCACUGAAACACGGGCCAG